rnacentral:rRNA from 1 species
AAACGACUCUCGGCAACGGAUAUCUCGGCUCACGCAUCGAUGAAGAACGUAGCAAAAUGCGAUACUUGGUGUGAAUUGCAGAAUCCCGUGAACCAUCGAGUUUUUGAACGCAAGUUGCGCCCGAAGCCAUCCGGUCGAGGGCACGCCUGCCUGGGCGUCACGC